rnacentral:rRNA from 1 species
AGAGAGAGACAUGCGCGCAUAUCAAUAAGCGGAGGAAAAGAAACUAACUAGGAUUCCCUCAGUAACGGCGAGUGAAGCGGGAAGAGCUCAAAUUUGAAAUCUUCAAGGUUCUACCUUGACGAAUUGUAGUUUAAAGAAGUGUUUUCUGUUGGAGUUUUGGUAAAAGUUCUUUGGAAUAGGACAUCAUAGAGGGUGAGAAUCCCGUAUUUGACCAUUAUUUCCAGCUUUGUGAUACACUUUCAAAGAGUCGGAUUGUUUGGGAAUGCAGUCCAAAAUGGGUGGUAAAUCUCAUCUAAAGCUAAAUAUUGGCGAGAGACCGAUAGCGAACAAGUACCGUGAGGGAAAGAUGAAAAGAACUUUGAAAAGAGAGUUAAACAGUACGUGAAAUUGUCAAAAGGGAAGCGUUUGACACCAGUGUUGUUUUUCUGAAAAUCAAUUAAAAAGGAACUGAUUUAUGCUAGUUGUAUUAGACUUUAUCAGCUUAACUGUUUAUUUUGAUCUUUUCUUUAAUGCACUUUUCAGUUAACAAGUCAACAUCAAUUUCUUUUGCUGUAAAAAGGCUCGAUGGAAGGUGGCUUGAUAUUCGGCUUAAAGUGUUUAUAGCCUCUUGGCCUAUGCAAUCGGAGAGAUUGAGGUCUGCAGCGUAGAUCCUUCGGGGCUAGAUACAUUUGUGCUAAGUUAUAGCAUUUUAUAGACAACUUGUUGACUAUGAUUUAGUCAUUGUAGCUUACUCGCUUAUGUUAUUUUACCUACGCUUAGGAUGUUGAUGUGAUACUGCGAGC